UUUUCAAAUAUUUUCACAUUUGCAAUCAGUUGAAAGGAAUAAUGUUAAUGUAUGUUUUAUGACUUAAGGUAUCUUCAACAAAAGGAACACUCAGUAAGCCAAGCUGACAUUUCAGUGAUGACACUGCCAAGAAACACAACUUUGUGAUGCAGCUGGCUUGGGACCGUGCUCACAGCUUACAUCACAUUGCACAGUAAGUACAAAGCAUGAUCAAAACAGGCUUUCAGAACUAUCUGCUACUAAAGUAUUCCUGAGGACUACCAAAUAGCCUAGUCAACAAUAAAUUGUAUUCUAACUAAUGUGCCUCGAUGGCUUCAGGCCCUUCUCUUGGAUCAUUUUCACAACAAACAAUGGUGAAAGAGGAUAGGAACAGUUCUUUGAAAGGGGCAGUCUGGUAGAUUAUGAAAGGGAUUGAGGAAAAGAGGAUGAAAAGACAAGGUGGGUAACUAUGAGAUCCAGAAAUAGCUCUGGGCAGGACAAGGCUCAGGUUAGAAGAAUGGGGCUGGAAUGCAUGCUUAGCCUUUGAAAGCAGAAAGUGUUCCAAGUCUCCUAAAGCUAUUUCUUUCAAACAGCUGUGAUUGAAAGAGUAUCCUGAGAUAGACGAGGAAGGGAGAAAAAAAAGAGAAGUACAUGGGGAAAGGGAGGAAAUGAGCUAGUGAAAAUUUCAACGCAAAGAAUGAUGUAUGGAAGUUAGAUUAAAAUCCUUCUAUUAACUCAAUAUAUUAAUACUAGAAGAAAUUGAAUAAUGUACAACUUAAAAACUGAUAAAAGAACAUCACUUUUGCUAUAGCCCAUAGCUAUGGGCUGUGGAACUCAUUUCCACAUUUUCAGUUCAAGAAACGAGGAAGAUUCAAGAGAAUUGGACAUUUACAUGGCUAAUAGCAAUACACAGGUAUGGGAUCACAAUUUUUGCUUGUAUUUCACUUCCAGUUUCCAGUGUCUUUCUUUGAUGCUUUUUUUUUUUAACAAACCCCGUGUAUGGGAACUGAACUACUGAUUGAACAGCUGCAGAAAGUCAGGCCUGGGAGCACAGGUGAAGGCAAUUCAGCUGUGUGACUGGAGGGGGUGGAACCUGGUUCCUUGUUUAGACCUCAUUUAAGGACUGUCAUUGGGGAAGAAUCUCUGGUUGGAGAUCUCUCCUUGGUGAAGCUUCUUCUGGCAAGCCUAGCAUCUUCUGAUACACAGCAAAUACAUUAGAAGUGUGUCAGCUGGAGAAAAAAAAAAAAAGAAUAAGAGCCAAACAAGCGUCAAUGAAAUUGCUUACCUGCAAGGAAACAACUGCUUAAUUCACUUAAAUAGAAUCCUGUAUCUGCCUUUCCCUGUGCUGUUCUCCGUUGAACUGGGGUCAAAAGCAGAUGAAGACACAAGCAUUAUUACUUCUUUCCACUGUGAGCACGUUUUCAGGAAGAAAAGGCUGCACAGAUAAGCAGCACUGACUAGCUGGCCAAACUGGUGAGAGGAACGUAUGCAGGAAGUGAGGUGUGCUUCUUCCAGUCAGUGCUCAUGUGAUGGAUCAGGGAUGGCCAUUUAUGUAGAGACCAGUGGUUACCACAAAAGCUAAUAGCUGUAAAAGCUUCCCCUGGCUAAAAUUAGGAAUGGAACAAACUCUACUGUUCCUAAAAGGGCUGAAGGAAAAAUGAUGAAAUGAGAACAAGCUCAUUUUCCUUUAAAGACAAUUUUCCUUUAAAGACCAUGUGCUGUUAUCUGUGCACAUCCU